rnacentral:rRNA from 1 species
AUUGAACGCUGGCGGCAUGCUUUACACAUGCAAGUCGAACGGCAGCACGGGGGCAACCCUGGUGGCGAGUGGCGAACGGGUGAGUAAUAUAUCGGAACGUACCCGGAAAUGGGGGAUAACGUAGCGAAAGUUGCGCUAAUACCGCAUAUGCCCUGAGGGGGAAAGCGGGGGAUCCGCAAGGACCUCGCGUUUUCGGAGCGGCCGAUAUCGGAUUAGCUAGUAGGUGGGGUAAAGGCUCGACCUAGGCGACGAUCCGUAGCUGGUCUGAGAGGACGACCAGCCACACUGGAACUGAGACACGGUCCAGACUCCUACGGGAGGCAG